AUACCUUUCUCGGCCUUUUCGCUUAGAUCAAGUGUAGUAGCUGUUCUUAUCAGUUUAAUAUUUGAUAUGUGGUCCAUCGGGUCACACGAUAUUAACUCUAUAUUUUUAGAGAGAAAGCCAAUUAAGAUAGCUUGCUAUCUGGGCUCCAUGAGUUGUCCAUGCGUUGCACUACUGCUUGGGCCUGGUUAAACGCA
rfam:Arabis alpina cultivar Pajares Aa.chr7_contig_3500, whole genome shotgun sequence.